GCUUUAGCCACCUGUCUGGGUAAUUUUCCUACCGGGAGUUGGGUUCGUAGUGCCGAGAUUAUCACAAUUAUGAAACAACCGCAAUUCUAAAUUCUGCAAGCUGCAUCUACCAGAUUCCGGAUCUGGUGCUUACAGAUACAUUACUGAAAAGAUUGCACUUAAAAGCUUUAUGUGAAAGAAUGCAACCACCGAAUCAUUUGUUGAAUUCCAAUAUUGUGUUGUCACGAACCUAAUGACAUGCUAAUGAGAAAAGCUGAUAAAUCAUCACAUCUUUCGGAAUAAGAGUGGCAAUAAUAAGAAAGGCUUGACUUUUCUACGACUCACAAUUCCAACUUCAAUAUACAACAUAUCUCGAUGGAAUCGGGAACCAGGAAAUAAGAAAUUCCCUAAUACAUAUGUUUAGAAAAUGUUAAUCAUACCAUACUUUUUAUUACUUAUUAGUGCAUAUGUGCGAGUAUUGUUACUCACAUACAAAAAAAAGGAAUUUUGUUCUUAUGACCCCUGUUAUAAAACAUUCUUCCAAAAAUGACAUUCAAAGUUGUCAUUUUUGAUUCAUUUAAUGAAGAAACGUCAUUUUUGCCAAAUAUGGUGAAAGACAUUUAAAUUGUAUUCAUCCUCAAAAUUUUACCUGGAAACUGGAAUUGAAGAGAUGUCGCGUGCUACUAAUAUGCAGAAAGAAGUGUUUUAAAAACGCAAUUUUCUCAUUGACCAUUUAAUGGAGAAACCAUAUGAUUACAAAUUUUGUCAUCUUUUCUCAUCUCCGGAAUUGAAAGAAUCGUUUACUGGUGCAUACUAAAGAGAAACCAGAUACAUGUGACAUUUGUAAUAAAGCAUUUUUUCGACGGUCACAUUUAAAAAUUCAUGUAAUGUCGCGUAGGAAUGAGAAAUCUUACCCUUGCAAUAUUUGCAACAAAGGCUUUUCUAUGUUAUGGACUUUAAAAAGACAUUCACGGCUGCAUUUCGGAGAGAAACCGUAUAUAUGUGAAAUCUGUAAAAGAGCUUUUUCGGAUAAGGAUAAUUUGAAAGGACAUCUAAUUACACAUACGGGAGAGAAACCGUAUAAAUGUGAAAUUUGUAACAAACCCUUUGCGAAAACGGGACAUUUAAAAGUACAUUUGCGUCUGCAUACGGGAGAAAAACCAUACGCCUGCGAGUGUUGCGAGAAAGCCUUUCCCACCAACCGGCAACUAAAAGUACAUAUGGAUGUGCAUACACGAGAGAAACCCUUUAAAUGCGAGUUUUGUAAAGAAGCCUUUAUUCGUAAAAGUCGUUUAAAAGUACAUUUACUUAUUCAUACCGGUGAGAAACCGUAUGCAUGUGGAUUUUGUAACAAACUAUUUCCGGAUGAAAGGCAUUGCAAAAAUCAUUUGCGUAUCCAUACGAAAAAAAAUACGGACGCAUGCGAAAAAGACCCUCGCACGCAUGCGACUUCUGUAAUAUAAAAUAUUCUCAUUUCAUUUCUUUGAAGAAACAUUUGUCGAAGCAUAUCAUAGAAAAUGAAUGAAGUGUACUCCUCUGAUGUUCAAUAAAGCGCUUAUUAAUGGGAGAACUUCACCACAUCUUAAACAGAGAAAGACUUUAAUAAUGAUUUUGUAGUAAGUUCAUGUUUCAAAAAACAAGGACCAAAUAUAUUUAUUAUUUUACUUAAACAUGUUGAAAUAAUCUCUUUUAGGAAUUCUAUUUUUAUUUUACACGGCGUAUAAUGCAUAUUCAUUGUUAUUUUACAAGGUAAUUCGUAUACUUAAGUGAAUGUUCCAACUUUGAAGGAAUAUUCAAGAAAACAAAACUAAGUGUAAUCUUGUUGUUCAUAUGAAAUUGCAAAAAGUAGUUGAAAAUAUUAAGAUUAAUUUAUAAAUGUUUAUUAGAAGCUCCUCCAAAAAAAUCGAACAUUUUCAAGACGAUACGAUAACUCAUUCAAUAACCUUUCAGUUUCUCCAAUAUCGAGCUUUGAAAACCUGCAGAUAUGCAUGUUUGAAGUUUAUCACUGUCAGUGCAGUUUGUUGUAGCCCCAGAUUAGUUUAUUAAUGUAAAUAGGUUUUAUACGCUUACGUUAAAAUGUUUCCAAUAAAAAUGUGCAUUUUAUUGAAAAGAAUUGUAAAUUAAAGUACUUCCCUCUUAUUUUUGUGUGUGCCUAUAACUUGUAUAAGUUUUCUUCUGUGACAGUUUGCACCUUCUUAAAGUUUCAAAGCUGUGAUUUAUUAAGAGAAAUGUAAAAUCUAAUAUUCAGAUGUAUGACUUUGUAUGGAAGAGUUUCAAUUAUGGAAUUUAUCUAACUUGUUUUACUGCUUCAACUGUGCUUCUUAUGUUAAACCAUUUUGUAUU